AAUAGAUACCCGGGUAGUCCACCCCGUAAACGUUGGGAACUAGUUGUGGGGUCCAUUCCACGGAUUCCGUGACGCAGCUAACGCAUUAAGUUCCCCGCCUGGGGAGUACGGCCGCAAGGCUAAAACUCAAAGGAAUUGACGGGGACCCGCACAAGCGGCGGAGCAUGCGGAUUAAUUCGAUGCAACGCGAAGAACCUUACCAAGGCUUGACAUAUAGAGGAAACGGCUGGAAACAGUCGCCCCGCAAGGUCUCUAUACAGGUGGUGCAUGGUUGUCGUCAGCUCGUGUCGUGAGAUGUUGGGUUAAGUCCCGCAACGAGCGCAACCCUCGUUCUAUGUUGCCAGCACGUAAUGGUGGGAACUCAUGGGAUACUGCCGGGGUCGAACUCGGAGGAAGGUGGGGAUGACGUCAAAUCAUCAUGCCCCUUAUGUCUUGGGCUUCACGCAUGCUACAAUGGCCGGUACAAAGGGCUGCAAUACCGUAAGGUGGAGCGAAUCCCAAAAAGCCGGUCCCAGUUCGGAUUGAGGUCUGCAACUCGACCUCA
rnacentral:rRNA from 1 species